CAUCAACAUUUUCAUCAAUUUCAUCAUCACCAUAACCUGACUUUCUCCAGCAAUCCACGAUUGUUUCACUGGUAAUCUCCUCCCAUGAAUCACCAAGCCAUUCAAUAGCAUCAUAAAAUUUAAAUGACCUUAUUAUACCGCUAUCAAGAGGUUGGAGGAAACAUGUUGUGUUCGGAGGAAGCCAGAAAAACUCAAUAUAUGGAAAUAAUUCUUCAUCAAUUUUAUGUCCGGAAAAGUUGUCAAGAAUUAAAGCUACUUUCUCUCCUUUGUUUUUCAA